GCCCUUUAACACAAGCACGUGGUUUCCGCAAACAUCCGGUUUGUAGCAAGUAGGAACGAAAACGCAACAAUGUUUUGACACGCGUAUUUCUUAACUGUAGUUACGGGGUUUUUUGCAUUGUUUCCAGGUUGUUGAAAUAUGAAGAUGGAGGAUGGCAGCUUGAUUUCAUGUAGGGAGGACAUUUCUUCGCUGUUCCCUGCGCAAAUGCUGAGUGCCAAACAGCAAGAUCUGAGCAGCCAGUUUUCCGCCGUAAGAAAAGUUUGCGGCGAUGGGAACUGCUUCUACAGAGCUUUCUGCUUCGCAUACUUGGAGUCAGUCCUACACAGUGCCAGGGAUUUACAGAGGUUCAAGGACAAGAUAAUCCAGGGCAGCGCAAUUUUGGUCUCUGCGGGAUUUGAGGAGGAUUUCUUCAGGCACCACCUGGACACUGUUCUUCAUGUUGUUGACCAAUGCCAAGCAGAUGUAAAUGCACUAUUCAGGCUCUUCAAUGAGCAUGCUACCUCCGACAGGGUUGUGCAGUAUCUCAGGCUGCUCACUUCAGCACACCUGCGAAACAAUGCAGACUUCUUCCGCAACUUUGUGGAAGCACCUGAUCUGCAUGUCUACUGUCAUCAAGAAGUGGAGGCUAUGGCGAUGGAGUGUGAUCAUGUGGACAUCUUGGCUCUGUCCCAGGCUCUGGACAUCUCCAUCCACAUCGUCUCUAUGGAAGGUGAUGAACAACAGCUGGCUCACCACAUCAUUCCAGAAAAUGGGGACCCAUCCCUGCAUCUCCUCUACCACACAUCUCAUUACGAUAUUCUCUACCCUCGGGCACAACUAUGACCAACAAAACUCUGCUCGAAUAAAUCCCAAGUGAGCUUGAAGACACUUAGAAAAUUAGAUUUUUAUAAAAUCUUGCAGUUUACAGGAAUCCAUCAUCUGUUGCACAAUGUGCACUAAACAUUUAGAAAUGUAAAAUGCUAUUUACUGUUUUUACACUUUUUAUAAAUUGUGUCAUUUGAAGUUGUUU